UGGCUGCUGAAGUUCACAGACAGGGGUCCUCACACGAACCAGCAGGGAGGCUGCAGAGCCUGGCCAGAGCCAACAGAGUCCCGUAAUCACCUAUCAGUACUUAAGCCUGAAAAUGUGUGAAAAUCAAAGCUGAAAUGUCCUUAUUUUUGUUGUCCCGAAAUCCUUGGUGCUCCAGAAAAAUAAGGUCUUGCUGGUUUGAGUAUCAUGGGAUGACUUCAGAGUGCUUCCAGAGUACGCUGGUAGAAAUUGUUAUGAUGCAAAUAAGAACACUUGCUCUUAUGUAGUGGAAAGACGGCACUUGAAGAGGAGAGAUUGGUUCUUUUAGGCACUGAGCUGGUGGUCUCAGUGGCAGAGCUCUUCGGCUUUAAACACUCACAGUGAUUCUAGAUGGAGAAUUGCAUUUAGGGUCCCUGCCAAGGAUUUUAGUACCUCAAGAUUUUUAACAUUAUUAUACAAGCCACUUUUUGGCACAAAGAUCUCUUAGUACUACACUACAUAAGCUUCUGUCUGGUGUUUCAGAGUGAAGAGGAAGUAAGUGAAUAAAGCUGAGAGAUCGCAGAGUGAGGCCCUGUUUUUGUAAAGACAAAGGCUUUCACUAGCAAGUACAAAACUCUCCACCUGUAACACCACGCUGGCCAGUAACCUGGCCGGGUCACUGCCUGCUGUCUCGCUGUCCCUCUCUGCCAGUGGAGUGACUCACUCGCUCACACACCACCUCCUCUCAUGGCGUGGCUGAUGCACAGCCCUGCUCUUUGUUUCCCUGCAUUCCGCAUGGAACCACUCAGACCCCAGAGCGCAAGACACGUCGGACAGACUGAGCCAGAAGACAGACAGACAGCCAGCAACACAGAAGAACAGGCCCACAGGUGUGUGUCGAUGGAGAUGGGCAGUCAGCUGUGCAGGUGGACCAGCAGGUUGGACAACAUGGAAGGACAAACAGCAGACUUCCUCCCACUCAGAUUCACUGAAAUUCUGCUCAAUAUCCUGACAUGCCUUCCAGAGCAAAAACGAUAGUAACAACAGAAAUGAAAACCUGGAUGAAUAUGGAUUAUAUCCUGUUGCUCUCUUUUCAAGAUGGACACUCAGCCUUGCAGUGAAGAAAUUGGCACCUCUUCCUUGGAUGAAAUGGGAAUGUGCCUUUUUUGUGAUUUCCCAUCCAGAUUUCUCAGUGCUUUCUCUUCGGAGAGAGAAACUAUCUCCUUUUUCUUUCGUUCACGCCUUUGGACACAUCAUUGGUCGAUGUCUUAUUUUUAUUUAUUUUUUAAAAAAUGCUAGUCUCUUCUUUUUUUAAGCUUUUUCCUCCGUGGUACAACAAAGCAAGAAGCGUAGCCUCUGUUGUCUCUGUCCUCUGCUGCCUAUUUCUCUACCUCUGCUCAAUAGCUGUGCUUUUUUUUCAUGCUGCAGAUGAAAAGUGUCUGAAUCGCACUGAAAAAGAGACCUGAUGGGGGCUGAGAGCUCUCUCUCUCGCUCUCCCCUUCUCCCUCGCUCUCUCCAUGCGUAUCUCACCCCCCCCGCUCUGUCUCCAAGCAGCAAAUCACAACCCACCCCCACUCCCCAAUGCCCCCCUCUCACAUGCCAAUUAGCAUUCAGCUCUAGUCUCUUCACUGAGGCAGGAAAGAGGUGUAUUGAAAGACAGGAAGAUGCAGAGAAACAGGUAUGAUCUUCUAGUGAAAAGGAAGAGGGAGAAAAUAGAGGCUUUAGGAGAACAGUGGACAGAACAGAAAGAGGAGAUGACAUGUAAGAGGGAAUGAAUGAAUACAGGAUACACUGUCAAAUCCAAAUUGUAGUUGUCAUGCUGCUUGCAUAAGAAAAUGUUUUCAUACAUGAUGAAAAAACAUUGAAGCCACUUCAUGGAUAUAUGGACUUUGAUCUUUGAAAAACCAGAACAUAACAUGAAAGAAAGCUGGAUCGCUGGCUGCUGGGUCUGGCACCUGUUCCUUUCUCUCAGACACAAAUGUCACAAUCCAGCCCAGUCACACGGCUGUAAACCCCGAGACUCUUGCUCACUGGACACAUGGUUUACAGGGUUAGUUCUUCAUCCGGAGUAAUUCCAUGAAAGGGGCUCACAAGCCAGUCAGAAUUGCAACCCUCUGACCUACAAGCGAUGGCCAGUGUGACCCUGUGGAGGUGUUCA